CAAUCCAUCAAUCUCUUCAAAAGCAAGGUACAAUUUUUUUUGCUGCAUUGUCUUCAUUUUGAGUUGCAUUAAAUGUAGAGUCCAAUUUUGUAUGAAGCAAAGGUGCCAAUGCUUGUCCCUUAAGAAUGGAUUUGUUCUUGAAGUUCACUCAGUGACUGUCACUCGUUCUCCUGUUCUCUUACAAAUUUAGCAUAUGUUGAAUUCAACUUUUGUCCGGCACAAAGAUUCUUG
rnacentral:misc_RNA from 1 species